UACAGAGGGUGCUAGCGUUGUUCGGAAUCAUUGGGCGUAAAGGGCGCGUAGGCGGCCGAUCAAGUCGGGGGUGAAAGCCUGUGGCUCAACCACAGAAUUGCCUUCGAUACUGUUUGGCUUGAGACCGGAAGAGGUUAGUGGAACUGCGAGUGUAGAGGUGAAAUUCGUAGAUAUUCGCAAGAACACCAGUGGCGAAGGCGGCUGACUGGUCCGGUUCUGACGCUGAGGCGCGAAAGCGUGGGGAGCAAACAGG
rnacentral:rRNA from 1 species